GUCAGGCAGCAGCCACUUCUCUUGAGAGGCUGAGUCAGUGGUGCUGGCAGCUGCCACAGGAAGCUCAUGUGGGAGAAACGGAGCUGAGGUCCUGGUAGCUGGUUGACUGAAGUUCUGAGGGAGCUGACGUGAGUCAGGAGAGGAACUAUGUGGGUGGGAUACGCUUAGUUGGGGGUGUGAAGGGGACAAAGAUGACGAAUCAUAGGGGCCAGGUUAACUCCAGAGCUUGUAACAAAUGAACCAGCCCCUACCUCAAGGAUGUCACAAUCUAUCCCAUGAUGAGCUGGUCAGAAAUCCAGGCAGAUGACUCCGGCGCUGCAUCCUCUGGAAUAAUGAUAAAGCUCCAGAGAGGCGGAAAGUCCUCAGCUUGCUGCCUUGUGAAGCCUCAGUUUCCCUGUGUGAAACAUGGGCCUGUUGACUCUACCCACCUCACUUAUUUCAACCAAGUAACAAGACAGAAUCUUCCUGCUGCUUGCCUGGUAUCACUACAGUCCCUAUCAUGACACCCAUCCAGAUGUGGACAUCGUUCCUCGAGAACUCAUGGGUUUCCCUCCCCCACUGCCUGCCCCAUGACCCCAGCAAGCCCACUUCUCCUGAGGGGAAUGGAGGAAGAAGCCGAAGCAAGUGACUGUGACCUCUGAAGUCUGAGCAAUCUGAGGCACCUGGACAAUGAGAAAGGCUGAACUGUGAUGAUUUUGGGGCAAGUGCUCUACCACAGAUGUAUAUCCCAGCAUUAAAAAAAAAUUUUUAAUCGCA